rnacentral:lncRNA from 12 species
UAAUAUAGAACUUUGGGUAAAAAGAUGUAUCCCAAAUACUUAGACGAGUUUGGAUGCUUUGUUUAAUGAAGCAGAAUGGUGCAGUGAUAAUAGCAACCAAGGGACAACACAACAACUUUAGAAGCAUAAUCUGCACAUACAUUGCAGUCGCGAGAAGAGAAAAAGAUUUGGAAUCAGACUAACUUAGGGUGAAUAGUGGAUCCACCACACACUAGUUAUGAAAACUCAGUCUUCUUAGCUGGGAAAAGGGGUCAGGGGUCCUCAUCUAUCAUGGUUGUUAUGAGGAUUAGAUAUAAUGUACAUAAAAAAACAUUAAGUCUGGUGCAUCAAAGAAAUUCAAUUACUUAUAACUGUAGUUGUUAUUUUUAUUAUUACUAGAAGGAGAAUAUGAGAAAUAAUCUACUGACUACACUAAUAAUAAGGGAAAAAAUUGGUUUUCUGAAUCAUGGCUCAUUAUAAAAGAAUAAUGUUCCCUUGAGGAAAUGAUAGAGAACUUUACUCAAACAUCUGGAAGAGACUGGAAACAUACUCACCAAUGUGAUCAAAAUUUUAAAAAAUAAAUAUUUUAUGAAAAAAGCA